rnacentral:rRNA from 1 species
AAAGGGUGCGUAGGCGGUUUAUUAAGUCAGUGGUGAAAGACGGUCGCUCAACGAUUGCAGUGCCAUUGAUACUGGUAGACUUGAGUGAGAUUGAGGUAGCUGGAAUGGAUAGUGUAGCGGUGAAAUGCAUAGAUAUUAUCCAGAACACCGAUUGCGAAGGCAGGUUACUAAGUCUUAACUGACGCUGAGGCACGAAAGUGUGGGGAUCAAACAGGAUUAGAUACCCCAGU